rnacentral:rRNA from 1 species
UACGUAGGUGGCAAGCGUUGUCCGGAUUUACUGGGCGUAAAGGGCGUGCAGGCGGUCUGCUAAGUCUAGGGUGAAAGCUCCCGGCUCAACUGGGAGAGGUCCUUGGAUACUGGCGGACUUGAGGGAGGUAGAGGAGAGUGGAGUUCCCGGUGUAGUGGUGAAAUGCGUAGAUAUCUGGAGGAACACCGGUGGCGAAGGCGGCAUCCUGGGUCGGUAUUGACGCUGAGGAGCGAAAGCCAGGGGAGCAAACGGG